CGCGUAGGCGGGGCUGCAAGUCAGUCGUGAAAUACCGGAGCUUAACUCCGGGGCUGCGAUUGAAACUGUAGUUCUUGAGUAUCGGAGAGGAAAGCGGAAUUCCUAGUGUAGCGGUGAAAUGCGUAGAUAUUAGGAGGAACACCAGUGGCGAAGGCGGCUUUCUGGACGACAACUGACGCUGAGGCGCGAAAGUGUGGGGAGCAAACA
rnacentral:rRNA from 1 species